rnacentral:rRNA from 1 species
AUUGAACGCUGGCGGCAGGCCUAACACAUGCAAGUCGAACGGUAACAGGAAGCAGCUUGCUGCUUUGCUGACGAGUGGCGGACGGGUGAGUAAUGUCUGGGAAACUGCCUGAUGGAGGGGGAUAACUACUGGAAACGGUAGCUAAUACCGCAUAACGUCGCAAGACCAAAGAGGGGGACCUUAGGGCCUCUUGCCAUCGGAUGUGCCCAGAUGGGAUUAGCUAGUAGGUGGGGUAACGGCUCACCUAGGCGACGAUCCCUAGCUGGUCUGAGAGGACGACCAGCCACACUGGAACUGAGACACGGUCCAGACUCCUACGGGAGGCAGCAGUGGGGAAUAUUGCACAAUGGGCGCAAGCCUGAUGCAGCCAUGCCGCGUGUAUGAAGAAGGCCUUCGGGUUGUAAAGUACUUUCAGCGGGGAGGAAGGGAGUAAAGUUAAUACCUUUGCUCAUUGACGUUACCCGCAGAAGAAGCACCGGCUAACUCCGUG